AGAGCGAACGCUGGCGGCAGGCCUAAUACAUGCAAGUCGAACGGAUCCUUCGGGAUUAGUGGCGGACGGGUGAGUAACACGUGGGAACGUGCCCGUUGGUUCGGAACAACUCAGGGAAACUUGAGCUAAUACCGAAUGUGCCCCCAUCCUUAAACAAGAUGGGUGGGAAAGAUUUAUCGCCAUUGGAGCGGCCCGCGUCUGAUUAGCUAGUUGGUGAGGUAAAGGCCCACCAAGGCUACGAUCAGUAGCUGGUCUGAGAGGAUGAUCAGCCACACUGGGACUGAGACACGGCCCAGACUCCUACGGGAGGCAGCAGUAGGGAAUCUUGCGCAAUGGGCGAAAGCCUGACGCAGCCAUGCCGCGUGAAUGAUGAAGGUCUUAGGAUUGUAAAAUUCUUUCAGCGGGGACGAUAAUGACGGUACCGCAGAAGAAGCCCGGCUAACUUCGCGCCAGCAGCCGC
rnacentral:rRNA from 1 species